rnacentral:snoRNA from 1 species
GCAUGGGUUUCAAUUUAUGGUGGGCCUGUACCCCAGGCCUCUCAUGGUGUCUCUCUCAUGACAGGCUGUUGGCACUGAAGUGGAUUGCACAGUU